rnacentral:rRNA from 1 species
UACGUAGGGUGCAAGCGUUGUCCGGAAUUAUUGGCGUAAAGAGCUCGUAGGCGGUUUGUUGCGUCGGCUGUGAAAUCCCGAGGCUCAACCUCGGGUUCUGCAGUCGAUACGAGCAAACUAGAGUGUUGCAGGGGAGACUGGAACUUCCUGGUGUAGCGGUGAAAUGCGCAGAUAUCAGGAGGAACACCGGUGGCGAAGGCGGGUCUCUGGGCCGUAACUGACGCUGAGGAGCGAAAGCCAUGGGGAGGCAACAGG